rnacentral:rRNA from 1 species
UACGUAGGGGGCAAGCGUUGUCCGGAUUUAUUGGGCGUAAAGAGCGUGUAGGCGGCCAGGUAGGUCAGCUGUGAAAACUCGAGGCUCAACCUCGAGACGCCGGUUGAAACCAUCUGGCUAGAGUCCGGAAGAGGAGAAUGGAAUUCCCGGUGUAGCGGUGAAAUGCGCAGAUAUCGGGAAGAACACCCGUGGCGAAGGCGGUUCUCUGGGACGGUACUGACGCUGAGACGCGAAAGCGUGGGGAGCGAACAGG